rnacentral:rRNA from 1 species
GACGAACGCUGGCGGCGUGCCUAAUACAUGCAAGUCGAGCGAAGUUUUUCUAGUGCUUGCACCGGAAAAACUUAGCGGCGAACGGGUGAGUAACACGUAAAGAACCUGCCUUAUAGACUGGGACAACUAUUGGAAACGAUAGCUAAUACCGGAUAACAGCAUUAACUGCAUGGUUGAUGUUUGAAAGUUGGUUUUGCUAACACUAUGAGAUGGCUUUGCGGUGCAUUAGCUAGUUGGUGGGGUAAAGGCCUACCAAGGCGACGAUGCAUAGCCGACCUGAGAGGGUGAUCGGCCACACUGGGACUGAGACACGGCCCGGACUCCUACGGGAGGCAGCAGUAGGGAAUCUUCCGCAAUGGGCGAAAGCCUGACGGAGCAACGCCGCGUGAGUGAAGAAGGAUUUCGGUUCGUAAAGCUCUGUUGUUAGGGAAGAAUGAUUGUGUAGUAACUAUACACAGUAGAGACGGUACCUAACCAGAAAGCCACGGCUAACUACGUG